rnacentral:rRNA from 1 species
AGUGAACGCUGGCGGUAGGCCUAACACAUGCAAGUCGAACGGCAGCACAGUAAGAGCUUGCUCUUACGGGUGGCGAGUGGCGGACGGGUGAGGAAUACAUCGGAAUCUACUUUUUCGGGGGGGAUAACGUAGGGAAACUUACGCUAAUACCGCAUACGACCUACGGGUGAAAGCAGGGGAUCUUCGGGCCUGGCGCGAUUGAAUGAGCCGAUGUCGGAUUAGCUAGUUGGCGGGGUAAAGGCCCACCAAGGCGACGAUCCGUAGCUGGUCUGAGAGGAUGAUCGGCCGCACUGGAGCUUGGCCACGGUCCAGACUCCUACGGGAGGCCGCAGUGGGGAAUAUUGGACAAUGGGCGCAAGCCUGAUCCAGCCAUACCGCGUGGGUUGAGAAGGCCUUCGGGUUGUAAAGCCCUUUUGUUGGGAAAGAAAAGCAGCAGGUUAAUACCCCGCUGUUCUGACGGUACCCAAAGAAUAAGCACCGGCUAACUUCGUG